CACUCCUGCGGGAGGCAGCAGUGGGGAAUUUUGGACAAUGGGCGAAAGCCUGAUCCAGCAAUGCCGCGUGAGUGAAGAAGGCCUUCGGGUUGUAAAGCUCUUUUGUCAGGGAAGAAACGGUGAGAGCUAAUAUCUUUUGCUAAUGACGGUACCUGAAGAAUAAGCACCGGCUAACUACGUGCCAGCAGCCGCGGUAAUACGUAGGGUGCAAGCGUUAAUCGGAAUUACUGGGCGUAAAGCGUGCGCAGGCGGUUUUGUAAGUCUGAUGUGAAAUCCCCGGGCUCAACCUGGGAAUUGCAUUGGAGACUGCAAGGCUAGAAUCUGGCAGAGGGGGGUAGAAUUCCACGUGUAGCAGUGAAAUGCGUAGAUAUGUGGAGGAACACCGAUGGCGAAGGCAGCCCCCUGGGUCAAGAUUGACGCUCAUGCACGAAAGCGUGGGGAGCAAACAGGAUUAGAAACCCGAGUAGUCC
rnacentral:rRNA from 1 species